UACGUAGGGUGCGAGCGUUAAUCGGAAUUACUGGGCGUAAAGCGUGCGCAGGCGGUCUGUUAAGACCGAUGUGAAAUCCCCGGGCUCAACCUGGGAACUGCAUUUGUGACUGUAGAGCUGGAGUGCGGCAGAGGGGGAUGGAAUUCCGCGUGUAGCAGUGAAAUGCGUAGAUAUGCGGAGGAACACCGAUGGCGAAGGCAAUCCCCUGGGCCUGCACUGACGCUCAUGCACGAAAGCGUGGGGAUCAAACAGG
rnacentral:rRNA from 1 species